GGGCUGCGGGCGCGCUUCUGCAGCGGGCACAGUCCCGCCAGCCAGCUCCUAAACGGUUGGUCGGUCUGCGCCCUGGCGCGAGCCUCGGCCC
rnacentral:pre_miRNA from 1 species